rnacentral:rRNA from 1 species
CCUACGGGUGGCAGCAGUGAGGAAUAUUGGUCAAUGGGCUUACGCCUGAACCAGCCAAGUCGCGUGAGGGAAGACUGCCCUAUGGGUUGUAAACCUCUUUUGUCAGGGAGCAAGUGGCGCUACGUGUAGCGUUAUCGAGAGGACCUGAAGAAAAAGCAGCGGCUAACUCCGGGCCAGCAGCCGCGGUAAUACGGAGGAUGCGAGCGCGAGCCGGAUUUAUUGGGUUUAAAGGGGGCGUAGGCGGAAUGCCAAGUCAGCGGUAAAAUCGCGGGGCUCAACCUCGCUCCGCCGUUGAAACUGGCGUUCUUGAGUGGGCGAGAAGUAUGCGGACUGCGUGGUGUCGCGGUGACCUGCAUAGAUAUCACGC